rnacentral:lncRNA from 1 species
UUGAUUAAAAUCUUACUAAAUCUUUAUCAAAUUCUAAAUCAAAUCUUAAUUAAAUACUAAUUGAAACACCAAUUAAAACCUUAAUAAAUCUUAAUCAAACCGUAGAUCAAUUCCUAAUGAAAUCCUAAUGAAAUCUCAAAUUCUAACCAAAUCCUAGUCAAAUCCCAAAUCUUAGAUUAAUUCUAAAAAAAUUCUAAUAAAAUCUUAAAUUCUAAUUAAAUUCUAAAUU